CGUGUAGGUGGGUCUUUAAGUCGGUCGUAAAAUCUCCCGGCUCAACCGGGAACCUGCGAUCGAUACUAUUGGUCUUGAGUGCGGAAGAGGAGAAUGGAAUUCCUGGUGUAGCGGUGACAUGCGUAGAUAUCAGGAGGAACACCCGUGGCGAAGGCGGUUCUCUGGGCCUGCACUGACACUGAGGCGCGAAAGCAAGGGGAGCAAACAGACUUAGAUACUCUGGUAGUCCUUGCCCUAAACGAUGGGUACUAGGUGUUCGGCCAUUUAUGGCUGAGUGCCGAAGCUAACGCAUUAAGUACCCCACCUGGGGAGUACGAUCGCAAGGUUGAA
rnacentral:rRNA from 1 species